rnacentral:lncRNA from 1 species
AAUUAGCAAUCAGUUUGAAAUUGGUUCAAGGGUGCUUAUUUGCCUACAAUUGGAACUUGGAGAUGGGAAAAGCCCUUAAUGGUUCUUUUCAUGCUGGGCUACUUGUAUUUGGAUUGAUAAUGCAAGUGAAGGAAUUGAUGGUGUUUACGGUCAGAACAGUAGAUGGAUUUGAACCCGAAUUUGAAGUCAUCUAAUGCAUGUGAAAACAAGAUUUAUAUAGGUAAAAUUCAAG